CCCUUAGAUGUUCUGGGCCGCACGCGCGCUACACUGAUGAAUGCAACGAGCUCUACCCUUGACCGAAAGGCCCGGGUAAACUUGUGAAACUUCAUCGUGAUGGGGAUAGAUUAUUGCAAUUAUUAAUCUUCAACGAGGAAUUCCUAGUAAGCGCGAGUCAUCAGCUCGCGUUGAUUACGUCCCUGCCCUUUGUACACACCGCCCGUCGCUCCUACCGAUUGAAGUUUUCGGUGAGUUGACAGGAGGAUUUUUUUGAAACUGGUUCGCCAGUGGAUUUUAGAUCCAAAUGCCAACGAAUCGAUGGCUUUAGAGGAAGGAGAAGUCGUAACA
rnacentral:rRNA from 1 species